AACGAACGCUGGCGGCAGGCCUAACACAUGCAAGUCGAGCGAGACCUUCGGGUCUAGCGGCGGACGGGUGAGUAACGCGUGGGAACGUGCCCUUUUCUACGGAAUAGCCUCGGGAAACUGAGCGUAAUACCGUAUACGCCCUUUGGGGGAAAGAUUUAUCGGAGAAGGAUCGGCCCGCGUUGGAUUAGGUAGUUGGUGGGGUAAUGGCCUACCAAGCCUACGAUCCAUAGCUGGUUUGAGAGGAUGAUCAGCCACACUGGGACUGAGACACGGCCCAGACUCCUACGGGAGGCAGCAGUGGGGAAUCUUAGACAAUGGGGGCAACCCUGAUCUAGCCAUGCCGCGUGAGUGAUGAAGGCCUUAGGGUUGUAAAGCUCUUUCAGCUGGGAAGAUAAUGACGGGACCAGCAGAAGAAACCCCGGCUAACUCCGU
rnacentral:rRNA from 1 species